AUUGAACGCUGGCGGCAUGCCUUACACAUGCAAGUCGAACGGUAACAGGUCUUCGGAUGCUGACGAGUGGCGAACGGGUGAGUAAUACAUCGGAACGUGCCUAGUAGUGGGGGAUAACUACUCGAAAGAGUGGCUAAUACCGCAUGAGAUCUACGGAUGAAAGCAGGGGAUCGCAAGACCCUGUGCUACUAGAGCGGCCGAUGGCAGAUUAGGUAGUUGGUGGGAUAAAAGCUUACCAAGCCGACGAUCUUUAGCUGGUCUGAGAGGACGAUCAGCCACACUGGGACUGAGACACGGCCCAGACUCCUACGGGAGGCAGCAGUGGGGAAUUUUGGACAAUGGGCGCAAGCCUGAUCCAGCAAUGCCGCGUGCAGGAUGAAGGCCUUCGGGUUGUAAACUGCUUUUGUACGGAACGAAAAGCCCUGGGUUAAUACCCUGGGGUCAUGACGGUACCGUAAGAAUAAGCACCGGCUAACUACGUGCCAGCAGCCGCAGUAAAAC
rnacentral:rRNA from 1 species